rnacentral:rRNA from 1 species
CCCUUAGAUGUUCUGGGCCGCACGCGCGCUACAAUGAUGAAUUCAACGAGUUUAUAACCUUGGUUGAAAAGCCUGGGUAAUCUUUUGAACUUUCGUCGUGAUGGGGCUAGACCCUUGCAAUUAUUGGUCUCCAACGAGGAAUUCCUAGUAAACGCAAGUCAUCAGCUUGCAUUGAUUACGUCCCUGCCCUUUGUACACACCGCCCGUCGCACCUACCGAUUGAAUGGUCCGGUGAAAUCUUCGGACUGCGCGGUCUGCAGUUUCUGCGUUCCGUGCGGAAAGUUGCGCAAACCUUAACAUUUAGAGGAAGGAGAAGUCGUAACA